rnacentral:rRNA from 1 species
AUGCUUCUCCACCCUCACCACUUGGUCACUCUGCUCCUGCUCCUGGUGGCUGCAGCGAGCGGCGACGGCGUGCAGUUCACCUAUAACGGCUUCGCGGGCGUGAACCUGACGCUCGACGGCGCGGUCGUCAUGCCCAACGGCCUGCUCAUGCUGACCAACGGCACCAUUCAGACGAAAGGCCAGGCCUUCCACCCGUCCCCCCUGCCGUUCCGCGGCGACGGGGAGGCGAACGGCACCGGCGCCGCGCGGUCCUUCUCGACCACUUUCGUCUUCGCCAUUUUCGGGCAGUACGCGGACCUGAGCAGCCACGGCAUGGCCUUCUUCGUCUCCGCGUCCAGGGAGCUGCUCUCCACGGCGAUGCCAGGCCAGUUCCUGGGCCUCCUCAACGACACCGACGGCGGAAACCGGAGCGACCACAUCUUCGCCGUGGAGCUCGACACGCUCUUCAACGCCGAGUUCCGUGACAUCAACAGCAAUCACGUCGGCGUCGACGUCGAUAGCCUGGUUUCGGUCGCUUCCACCGACGCCGGGUACUACGACGACGGCACCGGGACGUUCCGGAACCUAAGCCUAAUCAGCCGGGAGGCCAUGCAAGUGUGGGUGGACUACAACGGCGGCGCCAGGGAGGUCGCCGUGACCGUGGCUCCCCUGGGCAUGGCCAGGCCCAAGAAGCCCCUUCUCAGGACCGCCGUCAACCUCUCGGGCGUGGUGCAGAGCACGAUGUUGGUCGGAUUCUCGUCGGCCACAGGUGUCCUCACCACACGCCACUUCGUCCUCGGCUGGAGCUUCGCGCUGGACGUGGCAGCCCCGGCACUGGACACCUCGGCGCUGCCGGCCUUGCCACGGGCCUGGCCAAAGCCACGGUCCAGGGUGCUGGUGAUCGUGCUGCCCAUAGCGUUGGCAGCUCUGGUUCUCGUUCUGGGCAUCGGAGUGUACAUCUUUGUACGACGGCUUCUCAAGUUCUCGGAGCUGCGCGAGGACUGGGAGGACGCGUUCGGCCCCCACCGAUUCUCAUACAAAGAAUUGUAUCAUGCGACCAAGGGGUUCAGCGACAAGAACCUGCUCGGGGCAGGAGGCUUCGGAAGUGUGUACAGGGGCAAGCUCCGCAAGCCGGACAUGGAGGUCGCCGUAAAGAGGGUGUCUCAUGAAUCAAGGCAGGGGAUGAAGGAGUUCGUCGCCGAGGUGGCAAGCAUCGGACGGCUACGGCACCGGAACCUCGUGCCAUUGCUUGGCUAUUGCCGGCGCAAAGGGGAACUUCUCCUGGUUUACGAUUACAUGCCAAAUGGAAGCCUUGAUAAAUACUUGUAUGAUGGACCAUCAGCAGGUACACUGGAUUGGCCUCAAAGAUUUCACAUAAUCAGAGGGGUGGCUUCUGGGUUACUGUAUCUCCAUGAGGAUUGGGAGCAAGUUGUCAUCCACCGAGAUGUGAAGGCAAGCAAUAUUCUUCUAGACAGCGAGAUGAAUGGGCGGUUAGGGGAUUUCGGCCUUGCAAGGCUGUACGACCAUGGAGCGGACGCCCAAACGACGCAUGUGGUUGGCACCAUGGGCUACCUCGCUCCUGAGCUUGGACACACCGGCAAGGCAACCCCGUCCACCGAUGUGUUCGCCUUCGGUGCAUUCCUUCUGGAAAUCACGUGUGGGCGGAGGCCAAUCGAGCAAAACGAGCACCACAACCGCAUCGUGCUCGUGGAUUCGGUGAUCGAGCAAUGGCGCAAGGGUUUGAUCCUUGGCGCAGUGGAUACGAGGAUUCCAAGUGGGUUUAGUCCGGACAUGGUCUCGCUGGUGCUGAAACUUGCGUUGUUAUGCUCGCACCCAUUGCCUAACGGAAGGCCAACCAUGCGGCAGGUCAUGCAGUACCUCGACGGCGACAUGGUCCUCCCGGACUUGUCGUCGGCGUACCUCAGUUUCACCAUGCUGGAGCGGAUGUAUGAUGGGGACUUCAACCAGAAAAUGUUGCCAUACGCAUCAUCAACGAGCAUGGGUGCAGUUUCUGAUCUCUCUGGAGGAAGGUGA